CCUACGGGUGGCUGCAGUGGGGAAUUUUGGACAAUGGGGGCAACCCUGAUCCAGCCAUGCCGCGUGCGGGAAGAAGGCCUUCGGGUUGUAAACCGCUUUCGGCCGGAACGAAAUCGCAUCUGUGAAUAGCGGGUGUGGAUGACGGUACCGGAAGAAGAAGCACCGGCUAACUACGUGCCAGCAGCCGCGGUAAUACGUAGGGUGCGAGCGUUAAUCGGAAUUACUGGGCGUAAAGCGUGCGCAGGCGGCCGCGUAAGCCAGAGGUGAAAUCCCCG
rnacentral:rRNA from 1 species